rnacentral:sRNA from 2 species
CCUAUAAAAUUGCCGAAUCUUAAGUUUUUAAGUACGGGGGAACACAUUGUGGGUGAAUCUUACAAGUAUAUAUGUAAGUAGGGUGCCUUCAACCCGAAUCCGUAAGCUAACCUCGGAGGCAUUAGUAGAGGGGAGAA